CUAAAAUAGUAUCAAGUAGAAAUGGCAUAUUGACACCAAUGGCGAAGAGCAGGAUUUUUUUAAAAGAAGCUGCCGAGUAUCGUGACCUAAUUAUGUAUGCAUUUUGAACCAUUCUGGUUGGGAAACGCCGAAAAGAACGAUAGCAAUGAAAAGAAAAGAAACAUAAACAUAAAGAAAGAAAAACCAUUAACAAAAAGAAAAAAAAAAGAACAAAUGGAAAUGUUAAAACCAAAUUAAAUUAGAAAACAAACAAAUCAAACAAUCGCCAAACAUUUUACAAACAAAUCUAAUACAUCACUGUACCUUUAAUCCAUGAAGCAUAAGAAAUCGAUUCGGUCUUUGCAGUGUUUUGUUACAACCUUACAAUGCUGCUGCUUAUUACUAUGCAUCAAUGGGCAGAGUAUCAACUACCCUACAGCAUGUGUUAAACUACUAACUAUCCAUUCCUAUAGUGUUUUUUGUUGAACUACACAACUGUUCUAGUGCGUGGCUUUACGUUGGCGCUAUAUUUUGCAUGCAUACGAUACAUCUUGUGAAAUCAUUUUUGCGAAAUCAUAGUUACCAGAAAUAGAUAUUGGUAAAAACAAGGGAAACCGCUACAGUCAGGGGAACUUCAUGAAUUGUGGAAACACGCAUACCGUGCUCCUUUUAGCGAUCAUGUUUAGCAAACAAUUACCCUCAACUUUCAACCAUCCCAUUCGCUAUCUACUAAACGCUGAAACUGGGGAUGUUGUCUCAUGAAAAAUCAGGUUUUUUAUCGAAUCGGGACUUUACUUUCUUUCCCUCUUAGUACUACCAUUGUAACUCUUACUGACCAAGUAAGUCAGGGGUGUAAAUAUUUUUAAAAUAUGCCUAGUGUAUGAGAACAGCACAAGGGGAAAGUAAAAGGAGGAGGAGAAGGGAGCAAAUGGACGGAAGGUACAAGAUGAAAAACGAAAAAAAGGGAAUUAAAAAAAAAAGAGAAAAAAAUUUAAAAGAAAUAAAAAAAAAAAUUAAAAAAUUUUGAGAAAAUUGUUUAGUUCGCUUGAAACUUGAGUAAUUGAUAAGGAGAAAAUUGCUUUAUAGCUUUUCAGAUAAACUUGAAUGUGUCAUUAUUUUUAAUUCAUGGUGACAGCCUAACUUAACUGCGCUCUCCAUUUUUGAGUUGUACCUUGUUCCUUGUACAAAUUUCUUUUUUCGCACUUUCAUACAACAUCGCUAUACAAUACCGCAAAAUGCACAAGAAGAAUGUUUCCCCGCCUCACGGCUGUUUUGCUAGCCGUCCAGCUCUUCGUGUAACGAACAAACUACUAUUGUUAACCUUGAUCUUUUGAUCUGGCCUUCCUCUUUAAAACCCUCCAGUACAAGUUGUGCACACAAACUAAUGUUCCGUUACAUGUUCGCCUAUUCUUAUUACAUCUUAGAUUACAUAAAUUUUAAGGGGUGACGGAAACGAUUGAUAACUUACCCUUUGUCUCUUUACGUGUUAUUUUUUGGAACAUUUUUAUCACAUUGUCAGCAAGUCGAUAUUGUACUUGACAUUAUUGGGUUAUAUAUACCCCAGCAUCGCACAUAAAGUCUCGGUUAUAUUCCUCGAAUAUUUUUUUUUAUUAGUGUAAACGGACGAAU
rnacentral:lncRNA from 1 species